UUUACAGGAUAGCAAGUGAUUGUACCUUGGAAUUGAUGACUGUAGAGAAGAUGUUGGUACAACAGUCAUUUCUUCGUGAUGUAUUUUACAACCAACCUUUUUCGAAGGAAUCAAAUGCAUUCCAAGCACUUCUAGUUUUCUCAAAAUCAAACAAUCCAAAGAGGGUUUUGCAUUCUCCGAAGAGUCUCUGCUAAGAAUCGCCCUUGCACAUCCCAUUGUCUCCUUCAAAAUUGUUUAUAUUGAAAGUGAGGAUGACCUGCUUUGCACACGGGCUUCUCCUUCUCCUUGCCGCUGUUGUCCAGUGGGUUUGGAAUUCAUCUGAAUUCCCUUAACAAAUUGAAUGCAAGCGUUGGUGCUUUCAAGCUUUAAGGAUACAUCUCAGGUCCUGAUGUUUACAUGGUGGAGGUUAAGAGAGGAGUGGUUUGACUUAUCGCCACAAAAGCAGGCGGUGUGUGUGUGUGUGUGGUUUUUCUCUUUAUUGAGGAAACUGUCAUGAAUCUCUGGAUUGA